rnacentral:piRNA from 1 species
UCUUUUUUGAGACUUAACUGA